rnacentral:rRNA from 1 species
AGGUUAAGUUAGAAAGGGCGCACGGUGAAUGCCUUGGCACUAGGAGCUGAUGAAGGACGGGACUAACACCGAU